CUGAUGUGGGGGAUAACCAUUGGAAACGAUGGCUAAUACCGCAUGAUGCCUACGGGCCAAAGAGGGGGACCUUCGGGCCUCUCGCGUCAGGAUAUGCCUAGGUGGGAUUAGCUAGUUGGUGAGGUAAGGGCUCACCAAGGCGACGAUCCCUAGCUGGUCUGAGAGGAUGAUCAGCCACACUGGAACUGAGACACGGUCCAGACUCCUACGGGAGGCAGCAGUGGGGAAUAUUGCACAAUGGGCGCAAGCCUGAUGCAGCCAUGCCGCGUGUGUGAAGAAGGCCUUCGGGUUGUAAAGCACUUUCAGUCGUGAGGAAGGUAGUGUAGUUAAUAGCUGCAUUAUUUGACGUUAGCGACAGAAGAAGCACCGGCUAACUCCGUGCCAGCAGCCGCGGUAAUACGGAGGGUGCGAGCGUUAAUCGGAAUUACUGGGCGUAAAGCGCAUGCAGGUGGUUUGUUAAGUCAGAUGUGAAAGCCCGGGGCUCAACCUCGGAAUUGCAUUUGAAACUGGCAGACUAGAGUACUGUAGAGGGGGGUAGAAUUUCAGGUGUAGCGGUGAAAUGCGUAGAGAUCUGAAGGAAUACCGGUGGCGAAGGCGGCCCCCUGGACAGAUACUGACACUCAGAUGCGAAAGCGUGGGGAGCAAACAGGAUUAGAUACCCUGGUAGUCCACGCCGUAAACGAUGUCUACUUGGAGGUUGUGGCCUUGAGCCGUGGCUUUCGGAGCUAACGCGUUAAGUAGACCGCCUGGGGAGUACGGUCGCAAGAUUAAAACUCAAAUGAAUUGACGGGGGCCCGCACAAGCGGUGGAGCAUGUGGUUUAAUUCGAUGCAACGCGAAGAACCUUACCUACUCUUGACAUCCAGAGAACUUUCCAGAGAUGGAUUGGUGCCUUCGGGAACUCUGAGACAGGUGCUGCAUGGCUGUCGUCAGCUCGUGUUGUGAAAUGUUGGGUUAAGUCCCGCAACGAGCGCAACCCUUAUCCUUGUUUGCCAGCGAGUAAUGUCGGGAACUCCAGGGAGACUGCCGGUGAUAAACCGGAGGAAGGUGGGGACGACGUCAAGUCAUCAUGGCCCUUACGAGUAGGGCUACACACGUGCUACAAUGGCGCAUACAGAGGGCGGCCAACUUGCGAAAGUGAGCGAAUCCCAAAAAGUGCGUCGUAGUCCGGAUUGGAGUCUGCAACUCGACUCCAUGAAGUCGGAAUCGCUAGUAAUCGUGGAUCAGAAUGCCACGGUGAAUACGUUCCCGGGCCUUGUACACACCGCCCGUCACACCAUGGGAGUGGGCUGCAAAAGAAGUAGGUAGUUUAA
rnacentral:rRNA from 1 species